UACACAUCCUCUAUUCAUUUUAAUGUGGUGACGUUGGAGAAAUAGCUUGAGCUGCUCUGAGAAUUUGAAAAAGUACGAAAGCCAACAGUCCAAUAUACUCGAACACUGCUGUGCAUACACAUACACGUUUUGGACUAUGAUAGACGCUUUAAGAGAGACAGUAGUGGUGCAGCUUCACUAUAAUCUAGACUAUAUUCUGUAUUCUGUGCUGGUUGGUUUAUCCUGUCAGGUAUUUGAAUAGGUGCUCCUGGAUGCAGACUGGAGUGUAAACUCAGGCACUGGGUGUGGCUCUCCUGCAGUGUCUUUCUUCCAGCAGUUCUUCCACUGCUACUGUCCUGUAGGCUUCGGACGAAGGAAAGACCCGAGCGGAGACUACAUCAGGCGCUACAUCCUUACUCUAAAGGACGAGCCCAACUACUACAUCUAUGAGCCGUGGAGAGCCUCAGAGCCUGUCCAGGAAGCGGCUAACUGCAUCAUGAGUGGACUACCCUAAGCCCAUGAUCAACCACGCAGAGGGCAGAAGGCUCAACAUAGAAAAGAUGAAGAAGGUCUCCUGGCCUCUGUGCCCACCAUCCAGGAAGAGGCAGUGCCUCCCCUGACAGACGACUUUUAGAUCAGCAGCUGCACCUGUGUCACCCACACACACGUUGUCUGCCCGGUCCAACACUCUGGAAGAGAGGCAGGCCCUCCGAACCAUAGAGCACCCAGAAGUGCACCCACUCGAAACACCAGCACACCGUCACUGCCCAAGGAGACAAGCGGCAACAACAGGAACAGCAACAGGAGCAGUGGGAGGAACAGUCAGAGCAGCAGGCUGUAGAACAGCCAAUGGAUCUGCAGUGGCACACGAGCUUGCCAUGUGUGAUGGUGUAUGCCAGAGAGACAUGGCCGAAGACUUCUGAUGUCUUGUGCUCACCCCUUUCCUAGUCACACACACACAAACAUACACAGAGUUUUACAUACAAUAACCGGUUUAUAAGGUAUAAGAGCAGCAAGAACACCUUCGUAAUUGCCAAUAAUAAUUUGCAUACAGAAAGGUUACAAACAGUGUAUUAUAUAGCAAGUUAGUGCUUACACCGUUCCUUUCAGCUUUCCUAAACUGUUUUUUGUUGUCGUUUUUUUGCACCACCACACACUUUUAUUAGUGAGUGAAUAACUGCCUUAGGACUACAGUAGAACCUCAAAGAUACAAACCUUAGAUUUACGAACUGACCGGUCAAGCGAGCAGGCAAUAUUAACCUGGAUAUUUUUUUGUUAUCCCCCCCAAAAAACGCAUUAAAACAAUAAACAUUAAUGUAAAAUAUGCAAUUCAUAUUUUCUAUAAAGGUGUAUGUCAAAGUUAUUUCAGUGUUCCCAACGACCUCCAUUCUUCAUCUGAGGUUCUACUGUCAUUCAUCUGUUUGUCCUCUGUAUGAUAUUUUCACUUUGAUCACAACGAUGUCACUGGUUUAGAAACAAAUAUUUUGCCAUUGCCAGAGAAGAUAUAUCAACCAGUGAAAGAACCUAGAAUUAAUGUUUUCAUAUGAUUUAGUGCCCUUCGUGUAAGUUAUGAAACAUCAUGAACUGUCAUUGUGCUUACUGUCAAACAGACAGCUGUUCUCAACCACUAUGGGUAGUGAGAAGGGAGUCUGUGGCCACACAGAUGGAUGAAAACGUAUGAAAAAUUUAUAUGCAUUUUUCGCUGUCCAUUCAACUCGUUUCACCUUUUCACAUAUGAGUUGCUAACUUAAAAAAAAAAAAAUACGGAUCAAGCUGUGCAUAGACAUUUAUCAUUUCUGUUGUCCUCAACCUAUGACUCCCAUAGAAAAAUCCUGUGCCUCAAUACAUUUUUUGACUGAUACUAAAUCUGUCUUGCCGCAACCUAAAUUGAUUGAAAAAGAUCCCAUAAUGAUAAUAGUGUCUAUACUAAUACAAUAAUAACUACUUCCGCUAAGUACCAUGUGUAUAAAAUAUUUGUAUUAAUUCCCGCUAUAUUCUGUUUAUAUUUGCACAUCCAUCAGCCCUGUGUAUAUAUUAUACUGCAUAUAUUACCAUAAAACACGUUUUCUUUGUUUGCAUUGUUCUGUCUGUGGAUCUGCCCAGAAGGGGAUGAGGUUUGCCUAAUUUUGAGUCUACUUAAGUACUCAGGACAGCCAUUUUGCAUUCUUGCGUUGCAUACUUACAUUGACUAUAAAUAAGCCUUUAGAAUAUACUAAAAGAGGUACACUUCAUUUAUAUUUCCCAUUAACAUCUAAAGCUUGUCAUUAUUUGUCAGUCACCAAAUAUUGUACAUUCCAUGCAAAAAGAGUACAUUCAC